rnacentral:rRNA from 1 species
GAACGAACGCUGGCGGCGUGCUUAACACAUGCAAGUCGAACGAUGAACCACUUCGGUGGGGAUUAGUGGCGAACGGGUGAGUAACACGUGGGCAAUCUGCCCUGCACUCUGGGACAAGCCCUGGAAACGGGGUCUAAUACCGGAUACUGACCUUCACGGGCAUCUGUGAAGGUCGAAAGCUCCGGCGGUGCAGGAUGAGCCCGCGGCCUAUCAGCUUGUUGGUGAGGUAAUGGCUCACCAAGGCGACGACGGGUAGCCGGCCUGAGAGGGCGACCGGCCACACUGGGACUGAGACACGGCCCAGACUCCUACGGGAGGCAGCAGUGGGGAAUAUUGCACAAUGGGCGAAAGCCUGAUGCAGCGACGCCGCGUGAGGGAUGACGGCCUUCGGGUUGUAAACCUCUUUCAGCAGGGAAGAAGCGAAAGUGACGGUACCUGCAGAAGAAGCGCCGGCUAACUACGUGCCAGCAGCCGCGGUAAUACGUAGGGCGCAAGCGUUGUCCGGAAUUAUUGGGCGUAAAGAGCUCGUAGGCGGCUUGUCACGUCGGUUGUGAAAGCCCGGGGCUUAACCCCGGGUUUGCAGUCGAUACGGGCAGGCUAGAGUUCGGUAGGGGAGAUCGGAAUUCCUGGUGUAGCGGUGAAAUGCGCAGAUAUCAGGAGGAACCCCGGUGGCGAAGGGGGAUCUUUGGGCCGAUACUGACGCUGAGGAGCGAAAGCGUGGGGAGCGAACAGGAUUAGAUACCCUGGUAGUCCACGCCGUAAACGGUGGGCACUAGGUGUGGGCAACAUUCCACGUUGUCCCGUGCCGCAGCUAACGCAUUAAGUGC